UUAUACUCGUGCGUAGGUCCUACGGCGUAGCAGCGACGGCGUAGGUUCCGCGUCGGUUUUCAUUUAUACUUGUGCGUCGCCGUCCGCGUCGACGUGCAAAGACACGCGAAACCGCUGGUUGGCAGUAAUCACGCGUGUAACCACAGUAGCAGCAGAAGUCGUCACAGAAGAAGAAGCUAAGCAAGUUAACCCACAAACGAAGAAAAAAUAGCAACUUGUUGUGUAUAAUUUGAGAAGACCAGCAAUGAUGUAAGUAAAUAAACAGCGACUUAUGUUGCAGUUUUAGUUAAAUCACUCCUCGACUUGGCUCAUCUUUGUUUUCACCGUCUCAACCGGAAAUACCUAUGACGCAGUUUUUUUUACCUGACGGGAGGGGUUCUGGUGGACCAAUCACAGAGCUUGCGGUCCGCGUAGGUCCGACGCGCUGUUAGGAAUUUUGUGAGGUGCGCGUCAGGCUACGCAGAGCUACGCACAGGCUACGGAUAGCCGCGUAGCACCUACGCACGACUAUAAAUCGCCCUUAACUGUGUGAAUCAUUGACAAGACGCAGAAGAGUACAAGUAAGGCUUGGUAUUCUGUAUUGCACCGAGGCAGUAAUUCAGGUAAUGGCUGAAAAGGCUGUUCCCUCUGUCAUUCUGGAUCACAAUGUAUGGGGCAACUCUGCACAUUAUCCAGGGUCUGACCAGAAUCAUCGUCAUAUUUCUUUGGACCACCAUGUUGCCCCUGAUCAGUCAGACAGAAUAUAUAUGGACUACAAUGCCACGACUCCAGUGGAUCCAGAGGUGGUCAGAGCUAUUACUGAAGCUUUAACUGAUGCGUGGGGAAAUCCCAGCAGUAAUUACCUUCCAGGUCUUAAAGCCAAAGACACUAUUUACCAUUCCAGAGACACCAUUGCAAGAAUGGUCGGGGGAAAUGCAGCAGACAUUAUAUUUACAUCAGGAGGAACUGAGGCAAAUAAUUUGGUGUUUCACACAGCAGUGGAGCAUUUCAGAAAGAGCAUGGCUUCUUCAGAGGAAAGCACACAAAACCAGCAGCUCAAUGGCAGAGGCUCUCUCCCCCAUAUUAUUACUUCCAAUGUCGAGCACGACUCUAUCAAAGUCACUGCUGAACAUUUGUUGAAAGAUGGCAAAGCAGAUGUAACAUUUGUGCCCGUUUCCAAUGUGACUGCACGGGUCGAGGUAGAGGAUAUUAUUGCAGCGAUUUGUCCCACCACCUGCUUUGUAUCAGUUAUGCUGGCCAACAAUGAGACGGGCAUCAUUAUGCCAAUUAAAGACAUUUGUCAGAGGGUAAAGGAAGUAAACAAACAGAGGUCUUUGUCAGCUCCCAGAAUCCUUUUGCACAGUGAUGCAGCCCAGGCUAUUGGAAAGAUUCGAGUGAAUGCACACGAGUUAGGAGUAGACUACCUUACCAUCGUAGGACACAAGUUUUAUGGCCCUCGAAUCGGGGCUUUGUUUGUAAAGGAUCCUGGAAGCCCAACCCCAGUUUGCCCUCUGUUUUUUGGAGGAGGACAAGAGCGCAGUUUUAGACCAGGAACUGAGAACACAGCAAUGAUAGCUGGCCUAGGAAAGGUGAAUGAGACCAGGAAUGAGUCAACACUAACUACACCAACAACAGUCCUGCCCACAGAUGCCCUGACACUCUGUUUGAGUGUAGAAGAGGUCAGGAGGGCAUUCCUUGGUGUGAACCCCAGAAAGGCUGCUGGACCUGAUGGGAUCCCUGGGAGAGUGCUGAGGGACUGCGCAGACCAACUGGCUGAGGCUGCAGAAUUGGUAAGCCUAAAUCUAGCAGACUAUGAAGCCCAUUUUUUGAAUAUCAGAUUCUACCUGGAGCAGAAGUUGAUUGCUUCCUUUGGAGAGGAUAAGGUUCAUUUUAACAGCCAUUUUCCUGGCUCAGACAUUUUGCCCAACACAUGCAAUGUAUCCAUAUUGGGAAGAGGACUUCAGGCACAAACAGUGAAGUACCGCCACCGGUCGAGAGGGGCAGCACCUCAACAAGACGGAAGAAUUGUAAACCGGAAGAUACCGUGUCCUGCCAGAGAGCACUCGUCAUCACACGUUUUCAGUGUUUGAAGAGAGGAUCAAGAUACAGAUUUAAGACAAAAGGCAUCAAUUACGAUCGUUUAAAUAACUUGCCCAGAGCACAGCAUCUCGUGUACAGCAUGAAGUUUUCAGCUAUCAAGAUUUCUAGAGACUCCAGAAUGAAAACCAAGCCCUGCACUGCAAAAAAUGAAUGUCUUUCUUAGUUUUCUUUUGUCUUGUUUUCUAAUAUUAAUAUCUGAAAAUUCUUAGAUUGAGAUACACUGACUUGGUAAGCAAGUGGCUUAAGAUAUUAAGUUUUGUUUAUUGAAAUAAAUGAUGAAAAUCAAGAGGUUUUUGUUUACUUAAAACAAGUCAAAAUAUUUGCCUGUGCAGUAAGAAAAAUAGACUUAAUUCCAGUUUCAACUUGAUCAACUUAAUUUAAGUUUAUUUUUCUUACUGCAUUGGCAGAUAUUUUGAUUAGUUUUAAGUUGACUUGUUUUUAAGUUUAUCAUUUCAAUAAACAAGACUUAAUAUCUUAAGCCACUUGCUUACCAAGUCAAUGUAUCUCAAUUUGAGAAUUUUUAGAUAAUAAUAUUAGAAAACAAGACAAAAAAACCUAGGUAAGACAAUAAUUUUUUGCAGUGUGAGGGAGAAGAACCAAGCCCUGAGGGAACGCAGUGAAUGAGCAGCUUCGGAUUGACAGCGGCUCACUUUUGGCGUGGCUUGACAACGCUUUGAGGCAGGAUAAAAAGCUCCAGGAACAAUUUCUUUAGAGUAUCUUCUCUAAUCACCUUUCCAUUAAUACAACCUGGACUGGUGUAGGGAAUCAAGCAUGUUUUAGAGACCUGUUUCUGAAGACCAUUGUUUAAAGAGCCAUCCGGAAGAACCCUGCAACCCAGGAUGCCACUGAUUGGGCUGUCCAGGUUAAUGUUACGUGUUACCUGAAAGGAGCAUCUGACCGUGAAGGCGGAAAAAGGCAGCACACAGCUGAGAGGGACCCACAGAUGACCCCUUAAACCGAGGCUGACUACUGACACCCCAGCAUCGCUGACAACUAGAAUCCUUUCUGUAUCCUGCAGUCAGUAACAUCAAGAACCCUAAAGAAUCCUGAAGUGUCACACUACACUCAGCCAAUCCACACUUCACUUUGAAAAUUACUAUUCUUUUUUUUUUUCAAAUUCCCUGUGACCCUGCCUUAAGGGCAGCUCCUCGGAUAGAUACGGAAUCACGAGGUUGUUUGUCCUUUAUACAGGUGCACGAGAUAAAGUACUGAUUAUAAGCGCUGCUUAUACAUUACAUUCAUGUGGAUCUUUGUUUUAAUAUCUUUAGUGUCUUUUACUUUUUUUUUUGUCAUGUGGAUAUGUUUUUUUUAUCAUUCUGUUUAUGUUGGUGUGUGGUGUUAAGCUACUGGAACCUUGAAUUUCCCCUUGAGGAUCAGUAAAGUAUUCGUUCAUUUUUCAUUCACAAUAGACAGAUCUUAUUGCAGCAAAGUGAAAAUAUUGUGUUCCAGGUCAGCAGUGCCAUUAUAAUAGUCUAUUCUAGUCCAGAACUUUACUCUAGGAUAAGUGGUAAUAAUUUAUUGUUAGAAAUGACGAUUUAUUUGGUAUGCUGCACGUUCUUUGGUACCAAAUAUCCUCAUUACUUGAUAUAAUGUUUACUGGUAGCCUAAUUCUUUUCAUCCUAGAGCGACCUCUAAAUUAUUAACAAUUAUUGUAAAUGUUCUAAUUUGCUUGUAAUGUGUUUUUUUACUAGAAUUUAUUUGGAAACCUGCAUGGCUUUAUUAUUUUUUUAUUUUUCAGUUGUUUGUUUCAGUGCUCUUACAUAUCAUGUUUCAAUGACUGUUAAUGUACUUUGAAAUGUGGAAUAAAAACUCCAAAUGGGAA